AGUAUUUCCCACUUAUUAUAUUUGGGUCUCCCUCCAGUUUUUUGCAACUCCCGCAUUUAGGUCUCUCACAUCCCUCCAAAAUCCCAAAUCCCUCUUUCCCCAAUCGAUCACAGCUUCUUCCUCUCUCUCUCUCUCUCUCUCUCAUAAAUCUCUAUUUCUAUUUCUACGGCUAAUUGAAAGAAAAGAAAUUCAAAUCAGAACAAGUAGCCGAGGGAUCUAAAACAACUGGCGAAGCUAUUGGGAUCGAGGUUGACAAAAAAAUAUUUGAUAGGCGCCAGAUUUAGGAAGUGAUGCACCGUCACCAGUUGAUCCAAGAAGAUCUUUAGAUGAAAGUAAUAAUGAUUAUCGUCCAAGUGCCAAUUAGUAAUUAUUAUUAUUAGGAUCAACUGACUUUUUUGGGUAUUAUUGUUGAAGAAUGUAAUUGUCACGACUCGGCAUUUCCACCGUCGGGACCGUGAUGGAGCCUAACAUUUCACUUGCUAGGAAAGCCAACGUUGUAAUAAUUUAUCUUUUUUAACAAUUUAAAUUUAAUUAAUGAAGAAGAACUGAUUUAACUGCAA